UUACCAAUUUCAAACUAAGUUUCGAAUCCCAAAUUUAGUUACUCCGUCAAUUAAUUGCUUUACUCUGUGAAAAUUCAUCUGACCUCAGAAGGAAAAAAAAAAAAAAUUAUACAAGUCAUAACCGAUGUAAACCCAUAAAUCAAAACUCAAUUUCCUUCUAUUUCCCUCAUUUUGUCAUCAAAAAAAGCAAACACAAACACUACUGAGAGUCUAAACUUUGCAACGAAAAUAAGUUUCAAAAAUUGAAAUAUCCAUACUACUCGCAUCUUUCGGCCUCUGGAAUCGCUCCUCAGGACCAAUCCUCUUAACCUCAACAAUCUUAGCGAAGUAUGCAAUUAAACAACGAGAGCAGUGCCAUGGGCAGCAACAGCGAUAGACCCAACGGUCGUAAGUCCCCAAUCAAGCCGGUCAGCGCAAACAAACAACCACGACAAUGGAACAGCAGCAAGAGGCGGUUCCAUCUCCCGGGCUAUCAUAUUUGUUUGUGUGAUGGGGUUGAGAAAUUGGGACCUACGUGUGCAAGCGAGAGGGUCCAAUUAGAUUUUGGUCUUGGCUGCUUAACAUAGAUGAAAUUACCUAUCAGGACACACCUAUAAGUUUUAAGUGCUCCAAAUUUUGGUUUACCGCCGACCGGAUACAUAUAUACGAAUCCUUACGCAAGUGUUACUUUAUAUCGAGAAACGUAGGCGGUUAUACGAAUCAGGAUUCGACAAGACAAGAAAGAUAGUUUCAAUGGCAUCCAAACAAGAAAGAUUCCUAUGCAGAAGAGAGAAAACGAGAAGUAAAAAGCAUUCUUGAUGCUUUUCUUAUUCCCGACGCAGUAGACGACGGAGCUAAGCAAUCUGCACUGUCUCUUUUCGACGAGAUCCAUCAACUAGAGCUUGAAAUUGAAAACAUCAAAACAUUAGAAAACAUAAAUUUUGAGUUUUUCCAAGAGUCCAAAUCGUUUUAGGAGUUGCAGGAGCUUGUGGAUGGUUUAGAGAAGCUGGUGGAGACUGCAAAGAGCAAGGUUAUUAAAAAGAAUAAUAAUAAUAAUAAUAAUUGUGUUUCAAUCUUAACUGACUUGUAGUAGGUUAGGGUUAUGGAGCCAAAGAAAUUAUCAGCCACUCGCAGAUGUUGUUUUUGAUGAUAGUGAUCUAAUGGCUCUUCAAGGCACGGAUUUUGGUUACAAUACCAAUUAUGACAAGGCAAUUGGCAUAGCUUCUUCCUUCAAUUACAAUGAUGAGGACGAGAGGCUAAUUGCAAUAUGACUAGUGCACAACCUGUGCCAAACUUUGAUUAUGCUAAUUACUGUGAUAAUAAUGGUAAGAGCAACUACUUUUGAAGCUCACAAGCAAGACUUCUAUUUUUUGUUUGCUUUCCUGAUGAGCUUACAUGAACAUUAAGCAAGAGAUCAGAGAUAAAUUAUUAUUAGGUUAUAAGUUAUUUCUUUUUGGAUAUUGAGGAAAAGGGAGAUUUAAAUAUUGCAAGACACCACACUCUAGAUAUUCUGAUUUUUUUUUUUUUUUAAAUAGAAAGGAGGGGGUUAAACCCAUAGAUUAGACAUUUCUAAGCCAAAUAGCACCAGCACAAUUAGCUAAACUAGAUGGAUGAUGAACCAGCUGAAGCCCAAUCUGAUCUCCUAAGGCUUCAUUAGCUAUUGUGUCAGCCACAAGAUUUGCUUCACGGUAUAUCAUCUAAAUGACCACUUUCCAAUCCUUAGCCAUUAGGUUUUUACAUUUGGUAACUAAAUUUCUUAGUCUGAAAGCCAAAGGAUAAGACCCGGUUAAUGCACCAACAACAUACUGCGAGUCCAGCUGUAAUUUUACCCGACGCCACCCUCGAGACCAAGCAACACAAAGAGCAUCUUAAGCAACCCAAAGUUCCACAAGAACCCAGAUAAGCUUUGAAGCCUAAAAGCCUCCUGCCAUUCCAAGUGAUUUUGAGAGUUAGUUAUCGUUGGUUUUUGUUAUAUAAUAUGAUUUUAUAUCCAAGGGUAGGCAUACGCAAUUGUUUCUCCCUCACUUUUUAAGUAUUGGAUUGGACUUAUUUAUACUCGGUUCCGAGACCAGAUUAAACUAACAAAAUAUAAAAUUUUUAAAUAUCAUUUUCAUUUUUUUUUCUCAAUAUAUGGU